CCAGACUCCUACGGGAGGCAGCAGUGGGGAAUAUUGGGCAAUGGGCGCAAGCCUGACCCAGCGACGCCGCGUGAGGGAAGACGGUCUUCGGAUUGUAAACCUCUUUCAGCAGGGAAGACAAAAGGACGGUACCUGCAGAAGAAGCCACGGCUAACUACGUGCCAGCAGCCGCGGUAAUACGUAGGGAGCAAGCGUUGUCCGGAAUUACUGGGCGUAAAGGGCGCGUAGGUGGGUGCUUAAGUCAGGUGUGAAAACUCUGGGCUCAACCUGGAGACUGCACUUGAAACUGGGUAUCUUGAGGGCAGGAGAGGAAAGUGGAAUUCCUAGUGUAGCGGUGAAAUGCGUAGAUAUUAGGAGGAACACCAGUGGCGAAGGCGACUUUCUGGACUGUACCUGACGCUGAGGCGCGAAAGCGUGGGUAGCGAACGGGAUUAGAUACCCUUGUA
rnacentral:rRNA from 1 species